GAGCUGCCCCUUGAAAGACUAA
rnacentral:miRNA from 2 species